UCGUUCGCAGUUUGCCAGUUUGGGACAAAAGCGAGAAAAAUAGAAGAUGUUAAUGUCUUCCUUUAACAUCUUCUUUCUGCGAUUUGUACUUUUGUCGGCUUUUGUUGUUAUUCGGGUAGCUGCACCCAAAUAUUGGUGCAGCUACUGUGGGGUGAAAAACAAAAAAUUUACUGUUUUGGAACAUAUCAGAAAAGUGUCUUUAGGUGGCGUUGGGAACACGUAGUGAUCCAGAAUUUUAGCCGUUGAUGGAAAUUUGUUCUGUCUGCUUCUCUUCAUUGACGUAAUCGGUGUUCAAUCCUCUUGUUUGCCUUAAAUCUCUGAAUCAAGUUCAAGUGACAAGAAAUAUAACAAGGGAUUUGUCUAUGAUAAAUUUCCUAAGUUAAGAUGUUAUACAGUAACAUAGUUGCAAACUGUUUUGUUUGGUAUUUCCAAGUCAUAUUUUGCUCCAUCUUGAGUAUCUCUAAACCAGAUACUUCACCAUUACCCACCUGAGAUCUACAAAUUAAUAUGUAAUUUUUAAGUUAUGAAAUUGGGUACUCUCAUUAGUUUAAAAUGGCCAGAUCGCUGGGGACAACCAUGUAUCCAACAUCUAGCAGCAACAUCAAACUUGUUUUCGUCUGAUGGGACUUACAAUAUUGGUCAUCUAGACUAUGACUAUGUGCUCUCUCCGGAAAGAGCACAUAGGAUUGUAACACAAGGAACCAAGAAAUUUUGAAAGAUAGAAACAUUCCGUCAACAAGGUACUUCCAGGUCACCAUAUAAAUCCUUGGUAUUAUCAACAAAAAAGCAAUUGCAAACCUUUUGCUUGUCAACCUGCUUUUGAAUUUACCUUCCCACUUUUUCACAUGAUGUAAAAGCAGGGAACAAAAUUUUCUUCCACUUUAAGACUGGGGCGCAACUAUGAUAAGUAUGAGGUAAAUGUUACCACUACUAUGCAUGCAAGAUUUUCAUCAGGCUUCUCUGUUUUUUUAAUCUCUUUUUAAUGUAGAUCUUGUUUCUCAGAUUUAUUUUUUCUUUCUAAGAUCAUUUCCUCUUCUGAAUUUGACACAGUGAAAAAUGGAGCCCUUGGAUGUAUUUGAGUAUUGUUGUAUGUGAGUAUUGGAGCAGCCCUGAGAUUAAAUUGAGAUUCAAGACUGAUGUCAAGGGCCUCAUGAAGGGCUGUCUACCUGAGAAUAUAGAGGUCCACCCUGGUAAAUGCCAUCAAGCAAUCAAGUUUACAAUGAAUGAGUGGUUGUUGGUCAAUCCCAAGAAGGCUUAUAACAACACUGAACCUAUACUUCAUGACGGUAUAAUCCAUUUGUGUGGAUUUCAUGAAGUUUUUCCUACUGUCUGAAUUUUUAAUUGCCCUAAGUCAGCUGAAAAUAGGGCUAAUUGGCGUGCAGGCUUUUCAAAAGAUUGGCAGAAAAGGAUGAUGUAAAUUUUGAACUAAUUAAUCAAAUAGCUCAUCAUAUGGAAGCAGAACCGAGUUAAAAACUUCAAAAAGUGUUCGAAACUAAAAAUUUUUUUCGAACUGGACAACGAUACCCCAGAUGAAAGUAAAGAGAAAUUCAUUAACCCAACACUAUAAGAGACGAAAAUCAAGUGCUGGAUCGUGCGUCAUACUAUUUGUCCUUAAAUCGCUAUCUUCCACUGCCUAAGAAUAAUCCAUUACAUCCGCAUGAAAGCAGCAGAGGGGUACACCUUAAAAUAUUACUGCCAGAAUGUAAUACAGAAACAGUUGAUUCUGAAUCGGCAGAAAAUAGAAAAGAUCGAGUGGGUUCUACACAUGAAAGAUCCCAAUUGAACGCUGCUAUAUCUUGACGCAAAUAUUUAACGCUAUUGAUUGUUUCUCGAUUGUUCGAAGAAGUUGGACUGGCCAACAUGUUCAACGCUGCUGGAAAAAGACUUCAGCGAAAAAACCCAAGUGUCGUGCCAGUGAAAACCAGUUCAUUAAGUGAAAUUGGCUUCAACCCGUCUGUUGCACUGAAAAAGCUCUUUGCGCACAUCUCGGCAUGCUGGGUACUGUUUGAGCUUAGCUGAUAUACUUCCUUUUUGCUCUUCAUCUCGACCUGAUUCGAAAUACUGAAAAUAUACCACUAUUUCAUCACCGACGCGCACAACGAAAAAAUCAUAUCCGCUACUGAAGGGUCUGGAGUCAAAUUUAACAUUCCCUCGCCCGAUAUGCAGAAGGACAAAAUAUCUGUUGCAGAAGAGAGAUGUGUAACAUUUACAGGUUAGAUUUUUUUUUAAAUAAAGAUUUGCGGAUAAACGAAUUGUAAAUGUGCCACAGUGAGCGCAGAAGUGCGGAAAUACCACCAAUUUAAUAGCCAAUUUAAUAGCCCAUACAGCAAAAACCAGCACCCAUACACCAACAAAUACAGAAUUGGUUCGAAGGGUGCUGUGGUGUUUCUUCUAAAAAUUACCCUAAGUAAUACAGUAACUUAAGAUUUUAAAUUAUUGAAUGUUAUUUCGUUGCUGGCAUGUCUUCUUCGAUUGCUUCUUAAAUAUUCAUUUCAAUUUGUAUUUUUAUUUAUGUCACCGGAGAAAAGCUCAGUAGGCCAGAUUCGUUCCUGGAACUGUUCCGGUAUUGGUGGUGGAAAUUCUCUCAUUCCCGGGAAGACUGGCCUAGGUGAGGAUCGAAAGGGAUUGGGCGGAAUGCCAUCUUCCGGUAGAGAAGUUGUGGUAAAGAUAUUCACGUUUUCAGUAGUAAUUCGAUAACUUUGUGCUUCGAAAAAAGUUGUACUAAUCUUAAAUUUUUUAAAGAAAACUUUGAUGCAAUAUUCUUAUCUCGAUGUUAUAUCGAUCCGCAAAGGUAAAUCGGAAGAGGCUAUUCUUUUCCUUGACAUUAGAACGGAAAUUUAAGCGUUAGCAAGUCCUCCGCAUCCAAACAGAUCAAAUGCACGAGGUAUUCCGCCUCGUCCGGCAACUUACCAUCCAGUAACGCAUCCCUAAACAUAAUGUAUUAAAGAGGAAAGUAAUUGACCAAAUGCCGACUCGACGAUUUCCAUGCAAGAUGAAUGUUACAAAUCCAAGGAGAUCUGGUGAGCAGGAUGCAACGGACUAUGUCAUGUCAAACCAUUAGCUGAAUACAAUUAAUACCAUCAGUUCCACGGAAAAAGAGGUUAAUAAUCAUACUGAAUCAAAAGAGGCAUCAAGUUAAACGAGAUUUUAAAAUCAUAAAAUUUGGAAGCGCAUGUGGAAAUUUCGAAGAACGCUACCUAAACGUUACCUUUAGUCGCUGAUUCAUGUCGAAGAUAAAAUAAGUUAUUUUUAUAAAUUGAAGUGCAUA